rnacentral:tRNA from 1 species
GGAGUUGUGGUUCAGCGGUAGAGUGCUUGCCUAGCAUGCAUGAAGCACUGAGUUCGAUCCUCAGCAUCACAG